AUUUUUCUGUGGAGUGGGCAGCUGACCUCCCUCAUCACAAAGUGCAGAGGAAGCCUGGGUAGUGUUCAGUGGUUUUAUUGUUAUGUCUGUACUCUCUUCUAUCCCAGAGGCAGACUCAUUCUGAGUGUUAUGGGGGAUCUGAUGUACAUCUGUGUAAUGGUCAACCUGCUGAGGGGUUAUUGUGACCCUACUUUCCUUGAGCUCCUCCUUCUGUCUCUCUUCCUCCAGUCUCUCCUUCUCCUCUCUGAGCAUGGCCAGUUCAUCUCUACAGUGCUGCAGUUCCUGUCCCUGCCUGACGCCGCUGCCCUCCGUCUCCUGCAGCUUUGCCAGCAGCUCCUGGAUGUGUCUGCUCUGGUGGUCGAAGGCCAGGGUCAGCUGCUGGGUCUGCCUGGUUACCUGGCUCUGUCGAACCACCAGCUUGGCCUGGGUCUGUCUGGCUCGCCCAGCCUCCUCUCCCCACCCAGAUGCUCCACCUCCUGGGCUAGCUCUGAGGCAGAGAGGCCUCUACUCUGGAGCUCCAUGGUGGUUUCAGCCUGGUCUGAGGGAGACACACCCCUCUGGGCCUCCACAAUGGUCUCUCCCUCAAUAAUAGGUCUGGAGAGAUCUGGAGCUUUGGUCAGAGUUCCAUAUUCCUGGAUCAGAUCAGCUGUUGUUGCUGUUGCCUGGGAGACAACAGUGUUCUGUGGGUUGGGAUUCUCACACAGGAGAUGGUAGUAGCUUGUAGUCAGGGACAACGGUGUUGUUGUUGGAGUUAGAGGUGAUGUCAUGGUGCAGGGUGAGAUAUGUCAGAGAGGUGUUUUUAUCUACCAUGUUCUUCACUUCAAGACGUCCACGGUUCUUCAGUUCCUUCAACUCUGCCUGGAGCUCUUCCAGCUUCACAAGUCUGUGGAUCCAAACAGAGUGAUGUGCUCCGAGUCAAUGCCCUCGCCAGGCUCUCGCUCUGUGGGGUACUUUGCUCUCUGUCCCUUGUUCCCUCUCUCCUCUCGCUCCUCCCUCGUUUGUUCCCCUCUAGCAGGUCUGUUGGUCUGAGCCGAGGUUGUGCGUGGGGUGGUGUGGCCAUGUCGUGGUUGUGAGACCGGGGCAAAGCUCUGUCCGGCAGGGCUAAACGGGACUGGAGCCAUUGGAGCAGCAGUGGGUUGGACCGUCUUCUGAUCUGGAAAGAGGAAUAGGGAAACAAACAAGAGAAAGAAGAAAUGAUCAACAAAAUGACUUAUUAUCAUUCAAACUGCCAUGUUAAAUCAACAAAAGGUUAAUCAUUUGGAUAAUCAACCAAAUAGCCGGGUGUAAUACCGCUGAAAGUCAACAGGUGGCAGCAGUAACAAGAAUAACAGCUUGUGCAGCUCAAAGGAAAUGAGUGACAACAGUUUGGUGUAGGAAUGAUGUCACGCUUUUGUUAAGUCAAACACGUCCUGUUCAAAUUUCCUAACAUUGAACAGACAACAGCACUGUCUAUCGUCUCUAGUCAUAAAGGAUAAACAACCCAUUAUCAACAACAGUCCUCUUUCCUCCCGCCUCCUCACCUUCUAGUUCUUUGAUGCAUCUGAGGGCCUCUGCCAGCUUCUUCACCUCCUCCUCCAGUCCUGUCUCUCUCCUCCUGUUCUGCUCCAGUGUUACAUUCAGCCCCUCCCUCUCACACAGUGACUCCUAUAGGACAGCAACAGGAGAGAAACAACACAUAUUCAUGAAGUCAAUAACUAUGUAAUAACUAUGUAAUAACUAUGUAAUAACUAUGUAAUAACUAUGUAAUAACUAUGCAAUAUCAACUACAUAAACGUUUAAUAACCAACCUAUUCUUUAUAUAACAGCAGACAAUUCUAUAGCAAUAACCUAUGGACUAAAUGAUUCAGUGACUUCAUAAUGCGGCCACAGCCUAGUUCAUGCAUAAUAGAUUGACAUGUCCAGACCAAGGACACAAGAGUCUGUCCGUCUGUAGCUCAUAAUUGUAUGUGUAUACCGUUAGUUUGGUUUGUGUUUGGGCCUCUUUCUUCUGGCUCUCCUUCAGUUCACCCUCAGUCCAUUUGACUUUCUCUUUCAAAGCGUCUGUAUCCCUCUCCAUCGCCUGCUUCUGAAGGGUCAGCUGGUAGAGAGACAGGAACUCCAUCAUGGAGGAAGGAAGCACUAAGGAAAAGGUGGGGACCGGGGAGGACUAUGAGAAGAUCACAUAUAAAAGGAAGUUGAAAAAUGGACUCUUGAGAAAAGGGAAGGGUGGGAGGGGAGUAGACGCGGGAAAGCAACAAACAGGGUCUCUAUCUAAAGGACAGGUCCUGUCGUAAACAUCUGUCUGAUGAAUCAGCCACGCCACAUGCAGUUACCUACACAGCAGAGACAGAAGGGGAAACUAUCAAAGCCAUCAGAUACAUAUUAAACAUGAUCAAAUCCUUUUUGCUUACAUGAGGUAACACAUUCAAACAUUUGGAUACACUUCCAUGCCAUGAAUAAAAACAACAGAUGAAAUCCC